rnacentral:lncRNA from 1 species
GGUUACAAGCAUGUACAUUAUGGCUCUCUCCUUGCCUGGAACUGGAUAUGAGAAAUGCUUGAAUUAAGAUCUGUGAAUUAUCUUAUUUUCUUGUCAGAAGGAUGCAGAUUGCCCAUACUUCAUAGCAGAGCAACAGGAGGGACUUAGGGACAAAAAGCUCAAAGGCAAGGAAGACUGAGGAAGCUAAGUUACUGGCCAUAUGUUUAAUAAAUAUAAGCUUAAUGGCAGUGAAUGUAUUAAUGUCAGCGAAGACAAGUCUAUGAAGUUAAACAGGCACAGAGAGGCUAAGAGUCUUGCCAAAGGCCACAGAGGAAGGAAGAGACUAAAUCUGGAACAAACUUUCUAUUCUCCAUUUCCAGAAGAAACCACUAAACCAUGCUUCCUCUUGUCAUGGAAGCUUAAAAUAUUUGAUCAAACUACGUUUAAAUAAGAAUUAAAAUGCCAUUUGUCCAUCACCUAAUGGCUCAAUUUGCUCCUGCCUUGGGUGUGCACACCCUGCUCUGGAACAGACCAGAGCUCUAAAGAAGUGACUGGAAGUUGUGAAUGUCAUUGUUAUGAAGCUUCAAAUUUGCUCUCCUCUUUAGGACACAGACAUGGCAUUAGAGAAGGGCAGAAAACUGCACUUGGCUGUGCAUAGAGAACACUAGAGACCUCUUGUGCAAGAGAGGGGACUAGGUUGCGUAGUGUAAUGAGAGAAGCAUGGGUUUUGAGACCGCUACAAUGUCUGUGUCUUCUUGGCCAACAUUUCAGUAAGAGUAGUAAGCAUAUCUCCACAAUAGGGUUAAGAGAACCAGUGUCUUCUGAAAAACACAUGAAAUCAUCGUAACCCUGCUAAGUCUGUGCUUUGCAAAAAUUAAAACUAAAACUAAUUUUCA